GCUACCUGAAAUAACACACAAUAGGAAAAAAAGUAAAACUUAUUUAUAUACAUUCUACCUUAUUACAUCUUAAUAAGAAUAAUUAUUUUCAGCAUAUUCACUAGUUAUUACACCUCUGGGUUCUGGCAGUGUGCAUGAUCUGUGAGCACACUUCCAUGACCUCCUACUUCAUUUCACUGUUUAAGUUGCUAAAACCUUUGUAGUGCUCAGUUGUUGUAUGAUGAAUAAUAGCAAAGUUAUGCAGAUUUUUCAUAAAUAUUCAAAAAGGGAAAGUGAAUGUACAGGUCUAAUUCUGGGCUAAAAGCUUAUGAAGCAAACCUGUAGAGUGUGGCAGCAGUGCAGAUCAGAGCACUGAACACCAGCACACUGAACCCCUUGUUACACCAUCAAGACACAUAGAUCUGAGAAAUUUUAUCAGGUCAGUUGUCAGUUGGAUGACUCAAUAGACCCAUGAAGCACAAAAGGCUUCUCUCUCUAAUUACCAACUGAACAACUGAAGCUAUGUGCCAUCUGGGUUUCUUUUACAAACAGAAAAAGUGUAACCAAGCAAAAUUAAUCUAAUUUCUGGAAUAAAAAUGCUGUCAGUUUUCCAGUAAGCUUCCAGACAAAGUGAAGUGCAAAUGUGUUACGUGUAAAUUAAUUCUGUGAUUCAGUCACAAAGAAUGGCUUUCGCUAAUGAUAUACAUAGACCACAUCUAACUGUAGGGUGUUUGGGCUAUGUGUAUGUUAGAACUACCUCUAAAAGAGUAAAAGGUAGUGACCUCAAAUAUUUCAGUACUUUGCCAGUCUAGAACUUUAUAGGUCCUCAUGAUUUGGAAAUGAUGAAAAGUCACAUUAAUCCUUUAGCAUCUCUGAGAACCACAUCAAUUGUGUAUCAAAUAACUGUCUGCCUAACAGUGAUUAUCAGCUGUUUCCCCAGUCUGGUCUCCUCUACCCUUGUUUGAGAGUGGUUUCCAAUCCUUCUGGUUUUCAGCAAUGCAUUUCAGCAUUAAUCAGAGCUGAUUUAGAUGUUCAGUGUUAAAAUCACCACUAGCAGGUCUGCAAGUACAGCUUAUGUUAUUGCUACUACAUUAGCAGGAAUACCAAAAAAUUAUGCAGAAAUGGAUAAAUGAACAGCUUUGAUCACUGAAAAGCAGCUGAAAAGCACAAAUUCAGAUAUUUAAUAUCUUAAAAGAGUUAAUAGUUAAUAACUUAAAGUUUGAAAAGCUUAUUUCAAAUGCUAUUUUGAAUUGCAAUUUAUAGGUUUGUUUCAUACUAAAAGAUUGACUUUAACUGAUGACAGUACAUUCUUGUCUUGAAAAUCUGAUCUUCCGAAACCCUUUUUUUUAUCCUGUCAAGUUUAAAAAAAUACUCCCAUCCUCAGAAACCCAUCUCCUUGUAAAGAGAGACGUGAAGCAACUGCCCACUAGAUGUCCCUACUCUUCUGCUCAGGUCUGGCACAUUCCUGUGGUUGCUAUUGAAAGGAUCUGAAUCUAAACCCCCACAAGCUUCUUCAGACUCACUUUCAUUAGGUACCUCAUCGUGUUAAUUCCUGUUGAUGUAUUUCUGAAGAAAGAAAAUCCUAUACAAUCCCUUCAUAUUGCAGUUUAAAGAGAGUUUACACAGUUAUAACUUCAAGAAGCUUUUAUGAAAUUUAGUGUUAAUUUUCAGAUGAUGUAUUGAACUCUUGUAAAAAGCUCUGUUAUGUUCUAUUCUCUUCUACAGAGAAAUUACUGUUCCAGUGUUUAAUCUGCCUGGGCUAGAACUUCACAUGAAGGUCAAGAAGCUGUGAUUCUGAAUCUAGUGUCUCAUCAAGUUAGUGGACAAAUUGAUUUUUUUUUUUUAAACAAACACGUUUAACAUAAGACAUUAAGUAUUUUUAGUAAAACAGCACAGAGAAGAAACCAUAACAGGAGUGUAGCAUGUUGGUAUUUUAUUUUCUCUUCAGUGAAGCAUACUAAUUCAAGUUUCAUAGUUUUUAUUAUUGUCACGGUAUCCCUGGAGGACUCUAUGGACUGCAGAAUCAGUUCAUACAAAUCACUCAUUAACUAGGGCAACUAGUUAGGGUUUUGUUUGACAUCAGUAAGAAAACCCACAAUAUUGAACAAUGUAUCAAACCAACACACAUGCCCCAUGUUCAUACAUAAUUAAGACCAAUGUGAAGGCAGUUUAACCUGAAGACGAUGCAUUUUUAUCAGCUGUAUUCCUAAGAAGAAUCUCAAAUGAGGAUCUCAAAAUAAUUGUAAAAAACUUAAAAAUGCCAUCAUUGACACCAGCUACCAUAAGUCAGCUCUUUUAUUUCGUUCAACUGAUUUAUGUAGAAAUGUUUCUGAAAUGUCAGUAAAUGGAACAGAAGAAGCGUGGGUAAGCAGGCAGAAACAUCUCUAGUCCAAACGUUAGGAUACACGGUAAUUAUAAAUAUAACCACAGAUGGUAUCUUUAACUUUUCUAGCCUUGCUUGCUGAGGAAAAAUAACUCAGUGAAAACUCAUUAAAAAAAUCAAAAAACCAAAAAACCAACCCAGUUGAAAGUCAUUUGAAUUUAGGGUUGUGUGACUGUGGCAUAUUACACUAUAAGCACUUCCAGGAAAAGAUUGAUCUUAGAUGGUGAGAAUGAAAUCCUGCAGAUAGUAGUCAUCUUAUUCUGCUACGGGGUGUUGGCAGUGCUUUAAAGAUUCAUUUUUCUGACUGCUUCUACCUCUAAAUAAGAAAGUAUAUUUCUCACUGUUAAGAGUGCUAAAGAUCAACACUGAUAAGGAACUCAUGUAAGCAUCAAUGAUGAAGCUAUGAGCAAUAUACACAUUUUAUCAAAUUUACAGUGACUGUUUCUUCUUUUUUGUGGAACUGCAAAAAUGUGGUCUGUGAAACUGAUGUAAAAAGACAAUAAAACGACAAUAGUAUGUGUCUUUGUAAAAGCCACUGUCAGUAAGCUGCUCUUCUGCUCUGCCUACGUCACAUUUGGGUGAAAAUGAUGUCAAAAAUUUCUGGCUUUUGCAUAAUUGAGUUUCAAAUAUGCAUCUAGGUCAGAAAAAAAUGUGUCUGACAGGUAAGAGGUUCUGUUUCAAUGUCAUACAAAAAUAAUUAGGAGUAUCUUAACAAGAGAACCACCUCAUCAACCUUGUUAAAUGAGGCACGUAAUACCCACAGUGAUGCACAUUGCCAUUUCAGUUUUUUCAGGUUCCAAACGUCUCUUAACAUUUGCAAAACAUGCUUCCUUCUAAAGCACUAAGUCUGUAACUGAUGUACAUAUCUUUAAAGGACACAAACAAUGCUUCACAUACUUCAGUGGUGCAGGUAGAAUUGUCUGGUAGUUGUAGUGUUGUUGCUGUUGGCUCAGGAUCUGCAGCUGCAAAAACAGUUGCUGCUGUUGUAGCAGACGAGCAUAGUUGGAGUCCAUCUGUGGCUCAUUUUUCUCACCUUUCUGAUCAGGUGGAAUAUAUUGAUGAUACUUCAAUUUUUUCACCCUUGGCUUAGGUUCUUUACAUUUCUUGCUCCUAUGCUUGUCAUUUGGGUUCUUUGGGUGGCUUUGCUGUUUAUGGAUGGAAAAAGAUUGAAAUAACUGUUACAGCCAUCUCCUUUACAAGCAGCUACGAAAGGUACAAACAUAAAGCUUAUAGGAGCACCCUUACUGCGAACAGUUGCUGAAUAUAAUUAUCCUGCAAACCUGCCUUGAAGCAUCACUUACUACCCUUGAAAAGUAACAUACUCCAGCUGGCUUAUACUGUGCACAAGGAGGAGUCAUUGAAUCAGUUCGUGAAUGUUUUUUAAUAGACGGCACAAAUGAAGCUAAGGGAUUCUGCUAGUCACAACCUGCCAUUGCAAAGAGGCAUUCUUCUUAAACAGGGAAGUUCAAAGUCACUUAGCGCUUGGUACAAGGAAAAGCUAGAAUCUUAAAGUCUGCCUGUAAACACCUUUCAGCUCAUAGGUACUUACAAGUCUAGAUUAAAAGCAUGGACAGUCCUAUAAAUUACACCAUCACUCUUGGGAAACUUCCAGCAGCAUCCCUAUUAGCAAGACCUGCACAUGUGGUGGAGCUCCCUUCCUUUACAAGCUCUUUAAAAUUAUUUUGAGUGAAAAGUUAAAGGCCAUUACCUAGUCACACAGAAGGUAUCGAAGCAGAAAUCCUGUGUUGAUCCAUGCAUAUUUAUUACACAGCCUGUUUUGGGGGAUAUCUGAAUUUAUCAUUAAGGUCCUGUGUUAAGUAAGCUGGUACAAGUCCAGUGAUUUCACUGGAUAGAGCCAAAUUUAUGCUAGAAAAUAAUUAUUAGAGUUCAUCCUUGUAAAUUUAACUGAAAAUUAACUUCAUGUCGUUAGGCAGAAGUCCACGUACAGUCGUUACACAGCUGAAGAACUUUUGCAAAGCUGCUGAAAUGAAAUAUUGUAGACGUUUUCUAACACAAAUCCCACUCUAAUUGGAUUUGAAAAAGCUUUCCAUGCUGCUGGCGAGGUCAGUGCAGAAGAGAGAACCAAGUAUGUUCUUCUGGUACUCAAAUACAAGGAUAGAAUAGCUUCUCUCACACAGUGCCUUCUGCUUACACAAUAAUAAACUAAGAAAACAGGUGCAGAAAAGGAGCAAUGCUGUUCACCAGUUUGGUUACAGGUAGACUAUGAAUGUGGUUGCCUCUGUUUCUGUUAAAUUAUUCUCCACACAAAACUAGAUUAGAAACAAUUAAUUUAACCCGUAGAAAGUAGAAACUCAACACUGCAAAAAUCUAUUGUCCUAACUUCUUGAAAACUCACAUAGCAAUGUAAUGCAUAAUUCUGCAGAAUUAUACAGUACAACUGUACUGUCAAGACCUCUUGGAGUAACGAGCCAGUACCUACAACUGUUAAUGAUGGAUCUUAGCAUACGAAAGCUUUCACUCAACACCACAGUGUGUUCUCCUGACCACUAAUAAACGUUGUUAGUUCUAGGCACUAUAACAUUAUUCAUAUAUUUUUUUCAUUAGAUAUAGCAUUGGAAAAGGACAUAGGUUAAGAACAUACUCCUCAGAUGCCAUUAUAACAGGUACCUACCUUUACUAACGUUGGCCCGGGCUUUGCUGCAGAUACAGUAUUUGUGGUCAGGGUUGUUGUAGCAGUAGAACGUGUAACGUGCUGUUCGAUUGUAGAGGGAGUUUUGAGAAAUUCAGGAACUGGAGAGGUUAAAGGUGGAUACUAGUAU